rnacentral:lncRNA from 1 species
UGACAAUCACUGACAAACUAAUUAAGAUUACAUUUUUUCUUGAUUCAAUACAAUAAAUAAAUUACAAAUAAAAACAUAAAACAAAAAAAACUCUACAUAAAUAUUAAACUUUACAUCUUAAAUUAUGAAAUUAUUAAAAUAACUUUGAUCAUUAUGUGAUUCAUAAUAAAACUUACAAAAUAAAUAGAAAAAAAUCUCAAGUAGAACCUGUGUGAUAAGUUAACCAAAGAUGAAAAUCAAAUAUCGUCACCGGAAAAUUCGAACGAAAUCCGAACUCGAAUUGCCAAACCUAAAGAACUUCUCUUGCUUUUUUUUUUUUUAAUAUGAUUUCGAAUUUUUCUUUAAAAAUUUUCUAACUCUUUUUUUUUCUCACUCUGUCUUUUUUUUUCUUCUUACUUUCACUUUUUUUUUUUUUUAACUUUUUUGCUUGUUUUUCUCUCUUCUCCGUAUUUGUUAGUACUUCCUCAAUUUUCUCCUUCUUGUUGCCUCCACCCUUUUUUUUUUUUUGUUUCUGUCCGUGUGUUUCUUGUGUUGUUUGUGUGUGUAAUAUAGUGUGUAGGAUUGGGAAGUUGAGGGAGUUGGAGGAAAAGGUGGGGGUGGUUGGGGUAGAUUAGGAUAAGAUAGAAUUUUCAAAUUUUAAAACUUUUUCUUUUUCAAUUAAAGAAGACAAUAAUAAUAACAAAUAAAAUAACAAUGAUAAUAAAAAUAAUACAAUAACAACUGAUUAAUUUUUAUAAUUCAGAUAAUACAAUAAAAGUUUAAAAAUAAUUAAAAACAAAUAUAAUUAAGAUAGUACUAAAACUACUGACUUAUUUGUUUAAAAUUUAAAAAGAAAAAUAUUUGUUUUUUCAAAAAAAGAAUUUUGUAUUAUU